UACGUAGGCAGCAAGCGUUGUUCGGAGUUACUGGGCGUAAAGGGUGCGUAGGCGGUCCUGUAAGUAUGGUGUGAAAUCUCCUGGCUUAACUGGGAGGGUGCGCCGUAGACUGCGGGACUAGAGGGUGGGAGAGGAAAGUGGAAUUCCUGGUGUAGCGGUGAAAUGCGUAGGUAUCAGGAGGAACACCAGUGGCGAAGGCGAGUCCCUGGACAACUCCUGACACUAAGGCACGAAAGCUAGGGGAGCAAACAGG
rnacentral:rRNA from 1 species